rnacentral:rRNA from 1 species
CCUACGGGCGGCAGCAGUGAGGAAUAUUGGUCAAUGGACGAGAGUCUGAACCAGCCAAGUAGCGUGAAGGAUGACUGCCCUAUGGGUUGUAAACUUCUUUUAUAUGGGAAUAAAAUGUUCCACGUGUGGGAUUUUGUAUGUACCAUAUGAAUAAGGAUCGGCUAACUCCGUGCCAGCAGCCGCGGUAAUACGGAGGAUCCGAGCGUUAUCCGGAUUUAUUGGGUUUAAGGGGAGCGUAGGUGGAUUGUUAAGUCAGUUGUGAAAGUUUGCGGCUCAACCGUAAAAUUGCCGUUGAAACUGGCAGUCUUGAGUACAGUAGAGGUGGGCGGAAUUCGUGGUGUAGCGGUGAAAUGCUUAGAUAUCACGAAGAACUCCGAUUGCGAAGGCAGUUCACUGGACUGCAACUGACACUGAGGCUCGAAAGUGUGGGUAUCAAACAGGAUUAGAUACCCCGGUAGUC